rnacentral:tRNA from 3 species
UGGGAGAUCGUCUAAUGGUAGGACGCUUGACUCUGGCUCAAGAAAUCGGGGUUCGAGUCCCUGUCUCCCAGCCA